AAUCGAAUACUUGGGUAUCCAUCCCCAAGAAACAAAACCGCCCAGAAGUUCAUUGCCUUCAAGAACUUACCGCUGCGGCGGAUGGCAAAACCCAAGGUCGUUCAGCUCUCGGUAGCACGACCGCAAAACCAGCAGCAUCCGGUUUUGGAGAG
rnacentral:sRNA from 1 species